AUGGCCAAAUAUUGGUGGAGCAGUUCCAUUGAUCGACGAUCUCUCCAUUGGAUAUCAUGGAAAGGACUCACAGUUCCAAAAUGCAAAGGUGGUAUGGGCUUUCGGGACUACCAUCUUUUUAACUUAGCAUUAUUGGGAAAGCAUGGUUGGAGGUUUAUGACAAAUCCAAAUCCCCUUUGUGCUAGAGUUAUGCAGGGGAGAUACUUCCCAGACACUGAUUUCAUGCAAGCCAAUGCACCCCAUUCUGCCUCGGCGAUUUGGCGUGCCAUAGUGGCGGGGCGUGAGGCUCUCAAUACGGGCUUAGUCCAGCGAGUGGGUGAUGUCACCACCAUCAAUGCUUGGAUAGAUAAGUGGAUA
rnacentral:rRNA from 1 species